UACAGAGGUCUCAAGCGUUGUUCGGAUUUACUGGGCGUAAAGGGCGCGUAGGCGGUCAGCACAAGUCAGUUGUGAAAUCUCCGGGCUUAACCCGGAAAGGUCAACUGAUACUGUGCGACUAGAGUGCGGAAGGGGCAACUGGAAUUCUCGGUGUAGCGGUGAAAUGCGUAGAUAUCGAGAGACACUGCGGCGAAGGCGGGUUGCUGGGCCGACACUGACGCUGAGGAGCGAAAGCGUGGGGAGCAAACAGG
rnacentral:rRNA from 1 species